AGAUUGAACGCUGGCGGAAUGCCUUACACAUGCAAGUCGAACGGCAGCACGGGAGCAAUCCUGGUGGCGAGUGGCGAACGGGUGAGUAAUACAUCGGAACGUGCCCAAUCGUGGGGGAUAACGUAGCGAAAGCUACGCUAAUACCGCAUACGAUCUACGGAUGAAAGCAGGGGAUCGCAAGACCUUGCGCGAAUGGAGCGGCCGAUGGCAGAUUAGGUAGUUGGUGGGGUAAAGCUCACCAAGCCUUCGAUCUGUAGCUGGUCUGAGAGGACGACCAGCCACACUGGACUGAGACACGGCCCAGACU
rnacentral:rRNA from 1 species